AUGUUUAUUGAGGUCAUGUAGAUUUACAAGACUGUAAAUGUCUUAAAGGUGUAAGUUCUCACCUUUACAAGUGAAAGUUAUCACACCACACCCAUCAUCAAAGCACCAAUAAUCUGCCAUCAUAAUCCCCUGUAAAAUAUUUCUUAUGAUCUUCUUAAGAUCCCUAAGGCAUCAUCCAUCUUGACCAACAAGUACAAAGAAAUACAAUCAAUGAGGAAAAUAUUGCCAAGUUUGGAGAGUGAGGAAAUACAGUUUCAUUCCCAAAUGUGUUGCUGAUCGGUGCUGUGCUUUGGCUAUUCAACAAGAAGACCAUACAAGAGAAAGAUAACAAAAGAUACCUGAGACUCAGAAAAGCAUGUAGUUCAUGGAACAGAGGCUGAAAACCUGAGGUGAUUUCAUAAUACAGUGCUUCUCAAACUGUAGCAAAAGUCAGAUUCAACAGAGUGUUCUUCAAGACACAGAUUUCUAUGCCCAGCCCUGAAGUUCUAAUCAGUAGGUCUGGGGUGGAGCGCAAGAAUAUCCAUUGUUGCAAGUUCCCUUGUGAUGUUGUUCCUGAUCAGAAGAACACACUUUGAAAACUAUAGCUAUUGAACAUCUGAGUACAGCAGCAGUUUUAAACUCUCCCAAGCAAUUUCCAAGUAG